rnacentral:rRNA from 1 species
GUGAGGAAUUUUCCGCAAUGGGCGAAAGCCUGACGGAGCAAUGCCGCGUGAAGGAUGAAGGCCUAUGGGUUGUAAACUUCUUUUCUCAGAAAAGAAUUAUGACGGUAUCUGAGGAAUAAGCAUCGGCUAACUCUGUGCCAGCAGCCGCGGUAAGACAGAGGAUGCAAGCGUUAUCCGGAAUGAUUGGGCGUAAAGCGUCUGUAGGUUGUUUAAAAAGUAUUCUGUCAAAGAUUAGGGCUUAACCCUAGAUAGGCAGAAUAAACUUUUAAGCUAGAGUUUGGUAGAGGCAGAGGGAAUUCCCGGUGGAGCGGUGAAAUGCGUAGAUAUCGGGAGGAACAACAAAGGCGAAGGCACUCUGCUGGGCCAAUACUAACACUGAGAGACGAAAGCGAGGGGAGCAAAUGGGAUUAGAUACCCUAGUAGUCC